UAAAUGAUUUUGAUAUUUGUUUUUAAAAAAAAAAGGAAAAAAAAGUGAUAGGUACUGUAACAGAACCCAGAAAGGUUCAUCGUCCUCAAUCUCCCUCAAUCUCACUCGUCCUUUCUCUCUCAAUCUCACUCCUCUCUCUCUCAAUCUUUCUAAAUCUAAGCCUCAAACCCUCUUCACCUCUCAAUCUCGCUCACCAAACACGGAAAAAACUAGAGCUCUAAAGAGAAUCGAAUAAGAGGGCUCACCUUCGACGGUGACUCGGCGGCGAUGGUGAACUUAUGUCUUCCUCUCUUCGCUAGGAUUCACGCCGUCACCAAAAUCAGGUUUUGUUUUGGAAGAUUCGGGUUGUUUCGCCUCCAAGAUUAGGGUUUUUUUUUGUGGUCGAUUCGAUUUUAGGGUUUUCGUCGCCGCUCCUAAAAACUCCCCUCUUUUCUACAGCAUCUGCCCCUUUUUAUACCCAAUCCGUUAGGGUUUUCGAGCUAGCUAUGGAGAUCAAAAAGGGAAACCUCUUGGAAGUGUUUUUAGGUGCUCAGUUUUUGAUUGCUCUAUUGAUUGUUAAAUUCGGAAAAGGUCUUGCGCUUGGAGUUGCUGUGAGUAGGAUUCUUUUUUGAAAUGGUUUUGAGAACCAAUCAUGAAAGGCUUUCUUGUUAUCAAAACCUCAGGGAGAAGUAAAUUUAGAAGUGACCAGAGUUCCUUCAAAUCAUUCUGCAACGGUGUGCCUGUCAAAAGCAUACGUCUUUGACAACGAUACCUAUUAAGGUCACGUGCUAAAACUGAAUCUCUAUUCUUCAUUCUUUGUGCUUCAUCAACCACAAUAUAUUUCCAAUCAAUUUUUGAAAGUUUUGCCCGGUCAUACAUGAUGAACUCAUAAGUAGUCACCACAACAUUAAACUUCAGAGCAGAAACUUGAUGGAAUAAUUUCAAUCGAUAAUCUUUCCCUCCAACAUAAAAAAUGCAUGACACAGAUGGUAACCACUCUGUUUGAAAGAAAAUGAUAGCAGCAUUUUAUUGCUCUGGUUUAGCAGUUAUUUUUGAAGCUGCAUAAACUGCUUCGGCACGGGCAAGGUUCUUCUUAUAUCAUUCCAUAUCUUGUUCACCUAAUUGUUGUCUGUUAUAAUCAUAAACCUGAAAAAUGCUUUGGGAUACACGGUUUUUGUGUUGAAUUGUUCCUAGAACCCUGACUUCAAAUUCAAAUUCUCUCUGAUUCUUAGUGAUUUUUCAUUUCACUGCGGCCUGACUACUAUCUUCUGAAGUUGUCUUAUACUGUUCCAUAGGUGCUCCUUCCAUUAUCUCAACAGCUGCACACACAGAUCAAGCAGUCCAUCACAAUGUACUAGUUUGCCUCCCGCAUUUCCUUCUUUUGAUUCCUUAGGUUGACUCAAGGAAUAGCAUCUCAAAAACUGUUGUCUGCCGCAACCACAAGUUCAUACAUGGUUUGUCAAGUUUGGAAUUCUGCACGAAAUUGCAUUGGCCGCUGGUUGAUUUUAAUAGCAGGUGCUUGGCUUGUAUCUCGAUGAGGCUGAAGCACAAUAGUCAGUUCAAGAAUUUAACCGUUUUGAAAUGACUUCGGUGGGUCUUAGUAUGACGGUAGCCGUACAUAUAUAAUCCUGUACUUCCAAACUCCUUUGCUUUGUCAAUAAGACCAGCUCUUCCAAAGAGAUGGUCCAUAUAGGAAUAGUGCUUAAUCCUUGAAUUUAUUUGCGUAGACUUCUAUCAUUUGUCUAAAUAGCAAUUGUCCUUGUGCUACAAGACCGGAAUGAAUACAAGCUAUUAAAACUACUACCAUUGUUACAUGAUCUGGUUUAAUAUUAUUAUUGAACCGAUGUACAAUUUAUUUGGCUUGUUUGGAAACCAAAACCUGCAGGUUUGAGGUCUGUUUAGAUGUCGGCUAUCAAUGGGUGAAGGUCCUUCAUCUAAAGAGAUGCAAGUAACAGCAACAAGCUGAAUCAUCCACGGCUUAUCUUUUUGGAAAUGGAAAGUUAGAAGGAUCCGAUCAAAAUAAGUAACAUCGAGUGCUGCAGUGAGAGGCAUAUGCUGAGUUUGUGGUCGCAAUUGGAUGUAAUUUUGUUCAUGCCUUAAUUCCACCUUUCUUUAUGUACUGCAGGUCUUUUCUUGGCAGGGUGUUGGUUUGCCAUCAAAGAAGUUUGAAAGGCUUAAUGAUGUACUAUAAAGCUUUCUUUGGAGUUGGCUAGGAAUUGUAGAUUGUGUGUUUUAUGUAUUUUUUUUUAUUGGAAACCUUAUAUAUGGAUGUAAUUGGGUUAAAUGGAAUUUGAAUGGUGUAAUUGAAUAUUAUAGUUGGAAUUGAAAAUUGUAUGGUUUCAACGCAGUGGGUUUUGAAUGAAGGUGGCAUGAUGAAUAUGUGAUCCUAAUGAAAAAGAAUGAAAGUUGGAAUGGAAUUGGUUUAAAAGGUAACAAAUGAACACCGUUCCAAGCGGUUUGAAAAAUGUGAAAAUGAUAUGUGAGACAAAAAGAAUGGACUUUGUGAAUUGAAAAUGUAAAAAUGUAAUAU